UACGAAGGGGGCUAGCGUUGUUCGGAAUCACUGGGCGUAAAGCGCACGUAGGCGGAUCGUUAAGUCGAGGGUGAAAUCCCAGGGCUCAACCCUGGAACUGCCUUCGAUACUGGCGAUCUUGAGUCCGGGAGAGGAGCGUGGAAUUCCGGGUGUAGUGGUGAAAUGCGUAGAGAUCCGGAGGAACCCCAGAGGCGAAGGCGGCGCUCUGGCUCGCAACUGACGCUCAGACACGACAGCAUGGGGAGCGAACGGG
rnacentral:rRNA from 1 species